GAUGAGCGCUGGCGGCGUGCCUAAUACAUGCAAGUCGAGCGAACAGACGAGGAGCUUGCUCCUCUGACGUUAGCGGCGGACGGGUGAGUAACACGUGGAUAACCUACCUAUAAGACUGGGAUAACUUCGGGAAACCGGAGCUAAUACCGGAUAAUAUAUUGAACCGCAUGGUUCAAUAGUGAAAGACGGUUUUGCUGUCACUUAUAGAUGGAUCCGCGCCGCAUUAGCUAGUUGGUAAGGUAACGGCUUACCAAGGCGACGAUGCGUAGCCGACCGGAGAGGGUGAUCGGCCACACUGGAACUGAGACACGGUCCAGACUCCUACGGGAGGCAGCAGUAGGGAAUCUUCCGCAAUGGGCGAAAGCCUGACGGAGCAACGCCGCGUGAGUGAUGAAGGUCUUCGGAUCGUAAAACUCUGUUAUUAGGGAAGAACAAAUGUGUAAGUAACUAUGCACGUCUUGACGGUACCUAAUCAGAAAGCCACGGCUAACUACGUG
rnacentral:rRNA from 1 species